CCAGCCAAGUAGCGUGAAGGAUGACUGCCCUAUGGGUUGUAAACUUCUUUUAUAAAGGAAUAAAGUCGGGUAUGCAUACCCGUUUGCAUGUACUUUAUGAAUAAGGAUCGGCUAACUCCGUGCCAGCAGCCGCGGUAAUACGGAGGAUCCGAGCGUUAUCCGGAUUUAUUGGGUUUAAAGGGAGCGUAGAUGGAUGUUUAAGUCAGUUGUGAAAGUUUGCGGCUCAACCGUAAAAUUGCAGUUGAUACUGGAUGUCUUGAGUGCAGUUGAGGCAGGCGGAAUUCGUGGUGUAGCGGUGAAAUGCUUAGAUAUCACGAAGAACUCCGAUUGCGAAGGCAGCCUGCUAAGCUGCAACUGACAUUGAGGCUCGAAAGUGUGGGUAUCAAACAGGAUUAGAUACCCUGGUAGUCCACACGGUAAACGAAGAAGACUCGCUGUUUGCGAUAUACUGCAAGCGGCCA
rnacentral:rRNA from 1 species